CUUUUGCUGGGAGCUGCAAUCCUGAGCUACUCCUAAUCAGCCAUCUUGGAUUCGUCUGUGUUUCUUAUUCUAAUCAGAUGUGGAACGGUUUCAGUGCAGCAUAUACGUUCAUGUUAGUGAUGAACUUGGGUGGAGAUGGUGACACAGCUUGUUCUCUCCUCCUAGGUUCUCAGUGAAUUCAAGAUCUUGAGCUGCCAGGGGCCUGGCCACUCCCACCCUGAGCCCUGCUUUCUUUGGCUGAGCUGGUCAUUGCUGCAUGUCCCUGGCUUCUGGCCUGCCUAUCCUCUGCAGUGCACAGGAGCUUUCCCAGUGGGUUCUGAACCUGCUCCUCCUCAGUCCAGCCAGCCAGCCAGUUCAUAGGAAUUGUGUAUAGUUGGUUAAGACAGAGAUCAAGAUGAGACAAACUCAUUCAUGUGGCUGAAUUAUGUUUGACUGUAUGGAGAGACUACAUUUGUUUAUCUCUCGGCGGGCACUUGGAUUGCAGCUAUUUUUCAGCUCCUAUGAACAAUGCUGUGCCGAGACCAGCUCAGCCUCAGAGACCGCAACUCAUGCGGCAGUGAAGGAAUUAAGAAACAGACACCGACAUAGCAAAAGGUGGGUUCAGAGUGGGGCACCAGGGGUCUCACAGCACUUCCAGCUGAGAGUCCAGAGCAGACUCUAACCAAUGUAUUUAUUCUUUACGUUCCAGUGACAAGUUUUACAAGAAGAUGCUCUGUGUUCUUUCAUUGGUUAAAGGUAAACUUACCAGGCAGCUAGUGUGUGUUUACUACAAGUUAAAGACAAACUAGAAAGCGCUCUUUACAAGGGAACAAAGAAAGGGUUACCCAUCCUGUGCUCAAAGAACUGAUUCAUCUGGCGUGAGACACAAUUAUAUUGAAUACUGUUUAUAGUGCUCUGAGCAGUUUGCUGCUUUGGGGCAGUUUUCCGCUUUGGGAGGCCGACUAAGUUUCCCUUGCCACCUCUCUCAAUAGGAUUUCUCAGCAAACAAUAUGAUUUCUCACUCAACAACGCUGCUAUGAGCAUCAGUGUAUAAAUGUGUGAGGCCCUUUGAAUUGUAGAGAGUACACACCCAGAAGCGGAAAUGCUGGAUUAUAUGGUAAUCCUUGUUUAGAGACAGAGUAUCGCUCUGUCACCCAGGCUGGAAUGCAGUGGUGCAAUCCUGGCUGACUGCAACCUCUGCCUCCUGGGUUCAAGCAAUUCUUAACCCUCAGCCUCCUGAGUAGCUGGGAUUACAGGCCGCACCGCCACGCGUGGCUCGUUUUUGUGUUUUUAGUAGAGAUGGAUUUCACCACGUUGGCCAGACUGGUCUUGACCUCCUAGCCUCAAGUGAUUCACCUGUCAUGGCCUCACAAAGUGCUGGGAUUACCAGUUUGUGCCACCAUGCCUGGCCUGUUUUACACUUUUUGAUGAAAAGUUUAAACACUGUUUUCCAUAGUUAAGCUCCAUUUUAUAUUCCCAGUAAGAGUACACACGGCUUCCAGCUGCUCAGCAUUCUCUCUAAGACUUUAUUUUCUGUAUGGAUUACAGCCAUCCUAAUGAGUCUGAGGUGGCCUCUCCAUGUAGGUCUUCUUUUUUUGAGAUGGAGUCUCGCUCUGUCACCCCGGCUACUGUACAGUGGUGCAAUCUUGGCUCACUGCAAUCUCCCCCUCCCAGGUUCAAGCAAUUCUCCUGCCUCAGCCUCCUGAGCAUCUGGGAAUUCAUCAGCCAAGCUGGUCUCAAACUCCUGACCUCAAGUGAUCUGGGAAUUCAUCAGCCAAGCUGGUCUCAAACUCCUGACCUCAAGUGAUCCGCCCAUCUCGGCCUAUCAGAGUGCUGGGACUCCAGGCAUGAGCCAAUUCUCCAACCUUCCCAUGGAGUCACACCACCUCCUGUCUUGGCACUUCAUGAGUCCAGUGGUCUUUCACAAGAGGAUCUGGUUGGCAGACCGUGACCUUGGUUCCUGCUUCUAUCCGUAGAUUUAUUCUUAGCAGCCACCACCUUUUUGGUACUAGAACAGUGCGUUUUUUAUAGUGCGUUCAUCGGUGGAUGCUGAGACCACAACCCGGUCAUUUGGAUGUUCAACUAAUGCUUUAUGACGCAGUCCCUGCAACUCACCAACCCGUGC